rnacentral:snRNA from 1 species
AGCUUUGAGCAGUGGCAGUAUCGUAGCCAAUGAGGUUUAUCCAAGGUGCAAUUAUUGCUAAUUGAAACCUAAUUAUUUCACCACAGAAAUAUUUACUCAAGAAGUGUCAUGAGGGCCAGGAAUGGG